ACUCAAAUGAAUUGACGGGGGCCCGCACAAGCGGUGGAGUAUGUGGUUUAAUUCGACGCAACGCGCAGAACCUUACCCAGUCUUGACAUCCUGAUAACCCCCUAGAAAUAGGGGGGUGCUCUUCGGAGAUUCAGAGACAGGUGCUGCAUGGCUGUCGUCAGCUCGUGUCGUGAGAUGUUGGGUUAAGUCCCGCAACGAGCGCAACCCUCGCUUCUAGUUGCCAGCGAGUAAUGUCGGGCACUCUAGAGGGACUGCCGGCGUCAAGCCGGAGGAAGGUGGGGAUGACGUCAAGUCCUCAUGGCCUUUAUGACUGGGGCUACACACGUACUACAAUGGACGGUACAAACCGACGCGAAACCGUGAGGUGGAGCCAAUCGUAAAAAACCGUCCUCAGUUCAGAUCGAAGUCUGCAACUCGACUUCGUGAAGUCGGAAUCGCUAGUAAUCGUGGAUCAGCAUGCCACGGUGAAUACGUUCCCGGGCCUUGCACACACCGCCCGU
rnacentral:rRNA from 1 species